GAUGAACGCUGGCGGCGUGCUUAACACAUGCAAGUCGAACGACGCACUAUAUUUGAUUUCCUUCGGGACUGAUUAUUUUGUGACUGAGUGGCGGACGGGUCAGUAACGCGUGGGUAACCUGCCUUGUACAGGGGGAUAACAGUUGGAAACGGCUGCUAAUCCCGCAUAAGCGCCCAGCAUCGCAUGAUGCAGUGUGAAAAACUCGGGUGGUAUAAGAGGGACCCGCGUUGGAUUAGCUAGUCGGUGAGGUAACGGCCCACCAAGGCGACGAUCCAUAGCCGACCUGUGAGGGUGGCCGGCCACAUUGGGACUGAGACACGGCGCAGACUCCUACGGGAGGCAGCAGUGGGGAAUAUUGCACAAUGGGCGAAAGCCUGAUGCAGCGACGCCGCGUGAGCGAAGAAGUAUUGCGGUAUGUAAAGCUCUAUCAGCAGGGAAGAUAAUGACGGUACCUGACUAAGAAGCACCGGCUAAAUACGUG
rnacentral:rRNA from 1 species